rnacentral:rRNA from 1 species
AACGUAGGUGGCGAGCGUUAUCCGGAUUUACUGGGCGUAAAGCGUGUGCAGGCGGGCUGUCAAGUGGUGUAUGAAAUCGCUCGGCUUAACCGGGCGCGGUUAUGCCAGACUGACAGUCUAGAGUGCGGGAGAGGGGCGUGGAAUUCCGGGUGUAGUGGUGAAAUGCGUAGAGAUCCGGAGGAACCCCAGAGGCGAAGGCGGCGCCCUGGCCCGACACUGACGCUCAGACACGACAGCAUGGGGAGCGAACGGG